rnacentral:lncRNA from 1 species
CUCCAUACCAUCAUGGGAUCUUGGUUGUUUUGCAUUGUUUGGUUGCUGGACUUGAUUUCCCUGACUGCUCUGGGCCACAAGAGCUGGAGCCUUAACUCUCCAUUCCUGUGUCAUUCUAGGCUUGACUGAGGGGACUGUUUUAGCAAAACAGUUAUGUCCCACCAUCAGACACUCACAAUAUGAUGGCUUCCAAUCAUAUGACACAUCUUGCAUAAAGCUCUUUCCAUUGGGAUCCAUCAGUUCAAUCUCACUUGGUAAUGCCUUUGAUACAUUCACCUCAAUUAGCAUACGAGCAUAAGAGNN